UCGCCUCCGCUUCGGUCUCGUGGCUUCUGGAGUCUUCUAGAUGUAAGAUAAUUGCGCGGCACGUUAAUAUCUUUAUGUAAUCCCGACGUGUGGGCCUUUCUUCCUUAUUUCCUGAUAACCCCCUGCAGAAAUAGACAAACACCAAAACUCGUGGAAUUCUGUCAGAUAAAACCCUAAGUCUAGAUGUUGAUUUCAUUUGGAUCCUUUUCUUUAUUUAUUUGAUAAUUAAAUUGGAUACUUAAGGACCGUCAACAUCUGCCCAAAUUAAGCUUCCAGUCUCUUAAGCGUGCGAUCCUAUGGGUUCACGUACAUAUAGACAUAGGCCGAGUACUCCUAUUCGCCCAAUAGUUGAUAGCAGCCUCUAGCAAGGCAUGACAACUCCUAUACGCAUGGAAAGAUCAUAUCAAACGAACCACUACAAACACAUACAUGUUAUUCUCUUGCCACACGAUAUUUGGUCCAACUCGUAGGUUAACACUUAACCCAAGCACGGCCAUGCAUUUGUUGAUCCAAUCACUUGAGUGAUCCAGUGAUAUCUCUCUCACAUAGAGAGAGAGGCAAGUUCCAUCUUGAUUAUCUAUUUCUCAUAGCAUGUUUUACAACAAACCCAAAGACCACCUUUAUAACUAUCCUGUUACGGAGUAGCAUUUAAUUGUCCCUAAGUAGGUCAUUUCACAUCUUGAGAACAUAUGAAAAUCUCAGGUCUAAGGACAUAGCAUACAUGAUGCAUAAAGAGAUAAUAAGGACAUCUCACAUUGGGUCACUCCAGCCCAUGUCAUACAUAUGCCCACAUUAUUAGUUUGACAUCUCUAUAUUUAUGACUUGUGAAACAUAAUCAUCAACUAAUACUUGUGAUAAUCUAAUGCUCAUGUGUGUCCUCACACGAACUCUAAUCAGGGACAACUUUAAAAUAACCAUACAAGUAAAAGAGUUUCACAAACAAUUCACGUAAUUGUUAAUCGAUACAAGUUUGUCUAUAAUAUAUAUUCAUUGAACUCAUUAUAUAUGUCAUGGAUACAAUUAUAAUAUCAUCAUCUCUAUGAUUACCUCUAGGGCAUAUUCCCAACAGCGGCACCCUUGCAAAUCUUUUUAGGUUGAGGAGCCCUCAAAGCUUAGUUGGUUUGUGAGCUAUACUAAAUUGUUUCCUACAAUGAUCCUCUUGUAAAUCUCUGGGGAUUCUUAUGGCUAAUAGAUGGUAGAUGACCUGCGAUGUAGUAUGGAUUUGACCAAUGUCUUUCUACCAGAUGUAGUGAUUAGGUGUCCUAUCUGUUUUGCUAGACGUGUGUUCGCUUUGUCUGCUAGAGGUGAAAAUCAUCUUUCUUCAAGCGUCAUAAGGUUAGAGCAAUCCUAGAUAAUUGAUUGGGAAGGCAAGAUGUGUCGCAUGAAAACCAUGUAGGAUUAUCUAGAGAUCAAACCCUUCACAUUGGAUGGCUGCCACCAUGAUCUUUGCAAUGUUUGUGCAUAAUCUUUCAAAAAUUUCCAUGAUAACUGAUAUAGCUUUGGCAUCUCAUGCUUUGUGCAUUAGAAAGAUAACCGCAUCACCUACAUAAUGGGACAGAUGCAGACAUGCCAUUUUACCACACAACUUGGAGAUAAGGCCCUUAUCUAUUGCUUAAUCAAAUGAAUUUUUCAUUCGGUCCAUAGCAAGGAUGAAAAAGGAGUGAAAAAAAUAUGAUCACUGCGCCGCAAGCCUUAGUCAUUUUGUAUGUUCUCCUUUGGCACAUAGUUAAGAAGGAUUUUGGAAAGAACCGGUGCUCUCUCAUUUUCUCACCUAAUCACAAAACAUUCACAUAGUACUCUAUAAUCUUUACUAAGCAUGUGAACACGUGUGACAGAUUUGGAUUACCAAUUGUAUUCUAGAUGUUCUUCAUCUUAAAUUCAUUGUUUUACAUUUUAAUGUGCGUUGAUCACGUGUUGAGUUGAAGCCUUUGUUUGAGCUAAGUUGAUUCUUAUUGUGGCCCAUCAUAUCUAUGGUGACUUCUAACUUUAAGUUUAGCUUCCCAAUUUCAAUCUUACCACAAUUUAUAAGAGAAUUAUUUCCUCAUAUGUUAAAUUAAAAGCUUAACGGUUGUUGUAGCACUUAAUUCUAGACCUAAUUUUAAUUUUAUUAAUGAUAUCAAUUUGUAACAUUAUGUCUUAUAUUUCACAUAAAAAAUAAACAAUCAUAUAAUAGGGGAAAAUAACAUAGACAGAUAUAAUGCAAACAACAUAAAAUACAUCAUACAACAUCUCAUAGGUACUAUGUAAACAAGAGAAAAUACACCAUGGAACAUCUUAAGUGAAUAACCAAAAAACCAUCAUCUCAUGGAUAUUUUAUUAGAAUAUUGAUAAAUGCACCAUGUGUUGAUGAUAUGAAUACUAUGAAAAAACAAUCUCAAUAUUAUAGGAAUAAUCUAGAAUACAACACAUAACAUCUCACUGAUACUACGUGAAACACCAAAAAACAAUAUAGAACAUCUGAUAGGUACUAUACAAACAUUGCACAACACAACAUGCAUGUAUGGAACAUGGAUAUUUUGAAAACAAAAUUAGAAUGUACAUCAUGGAACACCUUUUUAAAUACAGCUCAUAUAUAUAGUAACAAUAGUCUUAUUAUAUUAUUGAAUAAAUAUUUCAAUACAUUAUUUUCAAGAGAGGGCACAUAAAAUAAAGUAACGAAGAGAUAAAAUAGUAACUAAAAAUAAAAAAAGAAUCUACAAGAAACGAAAUAGGAAACAAGAGAAAAAAUCAAAGUGAAAUGGUAAAAAUGUAGAUAGAAAAGAAAAAUAAAAUAAAAUAAAAAUAAGAAAAAAAAUGAAAAAUGAAAAAUGUAAACAAGGAGAAAAUAGGAAAGAAUAGAUGUAAAAAUGAUAUAAAUAAAUAGAUAAGAAAAAUGAAAAAAAAUAAAAAAAAUAAAAGGAUAUGAAAAAAGAAAAUAAAGAAUAAGAAUAAGAAGAAAAAAAAAAGAAAUACUCAAUCACGCACAUACGUGAAACCUAAUAGCCCUACUGCUUUCGGUCCAAUAAAGGCCCAAUAUAUAAUACCAUAAAUUCUAACCUUACUCCGUUUAGACCUCACUGAAGAAUUCAGGUCAAGCAACCAUAGCAGCAGUGGCCCAUUAUGAAGAUUGCAAUUACUUGGGAGCAUCUGUCCUGGUGGCGGCAUGGCAAUCGGACCCUUCUAGACGAUGGAGGUAGUGACAUGCCAUAAAGGUCUCACGCUGACCAGUGACCUCGGUUUGCACUCUUUUAGAGUUGCUAGCGAUUGUGCCAAUGCGGUGAGGAGUUUACUAGGCGAGGGGUUCGACACGUUUAGACCAAUUGUCCACGAGAUAAAUGUAAGAAGGAGUUUCACUAAAGCGGAUUUCAUCUUUGAAGGACGAAAGGUCAAAUGUCGACGCCCAUAUAUUAGCUAGAAGCUCUUUAAAUUUAUGGAUAGGUAGACAUGUUUGGUUUUUUAAGCUUCUGGAUGGAGUUUGUAAUUCUUAUCCUACUGAAUAAAUAAAGUCAGUGUUCCCCUAAAAAGAUUUAUUGCAAUAAAUUUAAUUUACCUCUCUCAAUUAGAAAAUUGGUUUCUAGACUCUUCAAUUAUUGAAAUCAUCCAAUUUGUCUCCUUAAGCCGUUUUGAGAGUGGUUUUAGCUGAUGUGGUGCAAUGUCAGCCAUUGAUGGUGCCAAGUCAGCCACGAGGGAGGUAAAUCAUACUUUUGUGAUAGUUUAAUGAUGUUAAUUAGUAUUUAGAAGAUAUAGGAAUAUAUUUUUUUUCAAAAACAACUAAAUGUUUUUUCUAAAAUAAAUAUAGAUUUAAAAAAUACUAAAAUCUGAAUUAAUAUUAGAAAAUGUGUUUUAACUAAAAAAAUAUCAAGUCAAUCAUGCUAAAAAAGUUUGAAGCAAUUAGUGUUAAAAAGUUAUCCGAAUAAUUGUCUAGAUUGAAUAUGUAUUUAAAAUAUGAAAAAUUUUAUAUAAUAUUAGAAAAAUUAAUUAGUUCAACACAGAAAAUGAAACCAGUUUUAUAUUCUUCUAAAAUCACGAUCUAUAUUUUUUGAAGCUAGGUACCUUAAUCUGCAUGUACAAAUGGACAACAGUAAUGACGAACAAGGACACGGUCAUUCAAAUGUUGUUGGUCAAGUCACAUUAGUCAACUCGGGAGGCUAAGUGGCAUGCGACUGCUAUUAAUGGUCAAUCUACACACACCAUUGUUGGGAUGUUGCCUCAAGAAGACAAUGAUGCUACAAAGUUUGCAAAAUAUGCAAUAAGAGUUUGAAUUAUACGUUUUAUUUGGAUUUUUACAUGCAUGUCGUGAUAGUUAAGCAAGACAAAGUUUAUGUUUUUAGUUCGUAUGGAGGGUUGCACGACGAUUCACACUAUGGUCCACAAGAGUUUAUCUUAGUCUAUAUCUUCCAUUUAAUAUUUGUCUCAAUUUCAAAAUUUAGAAGAUCAUAUAAGAUCAAACUAUUUCUAAGAAAGAAAAAAAAGGUAGAGCAUAAUCUAUAUCUAUAUCUAUACUUACUAAUAAAUUGUGAAAAUUUCAGACUGAAAUUUUCUUCUGCCCCCGUCUCUACCAGAAUCGUCUCCGUCCGUUGAAGGCUUGUAGGAGAGAAAAAGAAAAUAGAAUAUUUUUUUGCUGGAGAUGCAUGCCUAUGCUUUUUAGUGUAAAAUUUAAAUUAUACUAUCUUGCUCCAAUUAUUAUAAAAAAUUUAUGGUAGCCUAUUUAAUAUGAUGCUUGAUUUGUGGUAAAAGUUUUAGCACCAUUCCUGCAUAUCUCACUGAUUUACUAAUUUACCUAAAUUUAUGCUUGCUAAAUAGUUUAGCAUCAAUUUAAGUGUGUAAAAAUAUAAAAUAGAUACUUCCACUACCUUGGCACGAUGUGUUGUUAUAUCAUAUGAACACUUCAUAAUUAAGCCCAUAUAUUUAUAAUCUACAUACAUUUAACUGAUAUAUCAUAUUUUAUAGGAAUCCUAAUCUAAAUAAACAAAUAAAGCUAGCAACAAACUUCUCAUGUUUUAAUAUAAUACUAUUAUUAUUAUUAAAUAAAUAUGUCCCCAAGCUACAUAAUAUUGUAAAUAUUAACUAUCUCAUACCAU
rnacentral:lncRNA from 1 species